AGCACCCUCACACAUAGCAUUGUGUGUGUGUACAAGGGCUUCCACUGGAAAUAGCCUUGACGGGGAACAGCUGGAGCGAGGGUGUGCUUAUGUCAGAUUUUGGUGUAUGCUCUUAAGUGGCCCCUUACGAGGUUGUCUCAGUUUGCAUUGGCCCCUGCAGUACAUGAAGAAGCCCAGGGGAUGUCUGACCCACGUGGCUCUGCACCCCUGCAGGUACCUGGAAGAGGUGGGCUACACAGACACCAUCCUCGACAUGCGGUCCAAGCGCGUCCGUUCCCUGCUGGGCCGCUCGCUGGAGCUCAACGGGGCAGUGGAGCCGAGUGAAGGGGCCCCCAGGGCUCCACCAGGCCCUGCGGGGCUCAGUGGCGGGGAGUCGCUGCUGGUGAAACAGAUCGAGGAGCAGAUAAAGAGGAACGCGGCAGGCAAAGAUGGCAAAGAGCGCUUGGGCGGCUCAGUGCUGGGGCAGAUCCCCUUCCUGCAGAACUGCGAGGACGAAGACAGCGACGAGGACGAUGAGCUGGACAGUGUGCAGCACAAGAAGCAGCGUGUGAAGCUCCCAUCCAAGGCCCUGGUGCCCGAAAUGGAAGACGAGGACGAGGAAGACGACUCCGAGGAUGCUAUCAAUGAGUUUGAUUUCCUGGGCUCAGGAGAGGAUGGGGAAGGGGCUCCAGACCCUCGGCGGUGCACUGUGGAUGGGAGCCCCCACGAGCUGGAAAGCCGUCGGGUCAAACUCCAAGGCAUUCUGGCUGACCUGCGGGAUGUGGAUGGGCUGCCCCCAAAAGUGACUGGCCCGCCUCCUGGCACACCCCAGCCC
rnacentral:sRNA from 1 species